GACGUAGGGGGCCAGCGUUGUUCGGAAUUACUGGGUGUAAAGGGUUCGUAGGCGGCUUGUUGCGUCGACUGUGAAAACCCGCGGCUUAACUGCGGGCUUGCAGUUGAUACGGGCAGGCUAGAGUUCGGUAGGGGAGACUGGAAUUCCUGGUGUAGCGGUGAAAUGCGCAGAUAUCAGGAGGAACACCAAUGGCGAAGGCAGCUCGCUGGGACGGUACUGACGCUGAGACGCGAAAGCGUGGGGAGCAAACAGG
rnacentral:rRNA from 1 species